AACGAACGCUGGCGGCAUGCCUAACACAUGCCAGUCGAACGAGACCUUCGGGUCUAGUGGCGCACGGGUGCGUAACGCGUGGGAACCUGCCCUUAGGUUCGGAAUAACUCCCCGAAAGGGGUGCUAAUACCGGAUAAUGUCUUCGGACCAAAGAUUUAUCGACUUUGGAUGGGCCCGCGUUGGAUUAGCUAGUUGGUAGGGUAAAAGCCUACCAAGGCGACGAUCCAUAGCUGGUCUGAGAGGAUGAUCAGCCACACUGGGACUGAGACACGGCCCAGAAUCCUACGGGAGGCAGCAGUGGGGAAUAUUGGAAAAUGGGCGAAAGCCUGAUCCAGCAAUGCCGCGUGAGUGAUGAAGGCCUGAGAGUUGUAAAGCUCUUUUACCCGGGAUGAUAAUGACAGUACCGGGAGAAUAAGCUCCGGCUAACUCCGUG
rnacentral:rRNA from 1 species